GGUGAAACUGGUAUCACACCUGCCCUGCAAGCAGGAGUUACGGGUUCGAGUCCCGCCGUGUCCA
rnacentral:tRNA from 1 species